rnacentral:rRNA from 1 species
AAAUUGAAGAGUUUGAUCAUGGCUCAGAUUGAACGCUGGCGGCAGGCCUAACACAUGCAAGUCGAACGGUAACAGGAAACAGCUUGCUGUUUCGCUGACGAGUGGCGGACGGGUGAGUAAUGUCUGGGAAACUGCCUGAUGGAGGGGGAUAACUACUGGAAACGGUAGCUAAUACCGCAUAACGUCGCAAGACCAAAGAGGGGGACCUUCGGGCCUCUUGCCAUCGGAUGUGCCCAGAUGGGAUUAGCUAGUAGGUGGGGUAACGGCUCACCUAGGCGACGAUCCCUAGCUGGUCUGAGAGGAUGACCAGCCACACUGGAACUGAGACACGGUCCAGACUCCUACGGGAGGCAGCAGUGGGGAAUAUUGCACAAUGGGCGCAAGCCUGAUGCAGCCAUGCCGCGUGUAUGAAGAAGGCCUUCGGGUUGUAAAGUACUUUCAGCGGGGAGGAAGGGAGUAAAGUUAAUACCUUUGCUCAUUGACGUUACCCGCAGAAGAAGCACCGGCUAACUCCGUGCCAGCAGCCGCGGUAAUACGGAGGGUGCAAGCGUUAAUCGGAAUUACUGGGCGUAAAGCGCACGCAGGCGGUUUG